rnacentral:rRNA from 1 species
UACGUAGGAUGCGAGCGUUGUCCGGAAUUAUUGGGCGUAAAGAGAACGUAGGUGGUUUCUUAAGUUUGGGCUUAAAGACUGGGGCUUAACCCCAGGACUGGCUCGAAAACUGGGAGACUCGAGGAUGUCAGAGGAAAGUGGAAUUCCGAGUGUAGCGGUGAAAUGCGUAGAUAUUCGGAGGAACACCAGUGGCGAAAGCGACUUUCUGGGACAUUCCUGACACUGAGGUUCGAAAGCUCGGGGAGCAAACAG